rnacentral:lncRNA from 1 species
CCAAAGUACUUGACAUUCAAAAUCUUCCCCAACAAAACAACUGAUUUCUUCGUACAAAGACUCAACGAAACAUAUAUAUUUCUUCAUGACUACAUGAAAUUGAUUUAAUAAAUUUAUUUACCUGUGAGCAUCCAAAAAGUUUAAGGAACCUCAAUGACGAGCAGCUAUCGACAAUUAAACCAAACUCAUUGUCUGUCAAGUUUCGACACCAUGAUAAAUCUAAGGUAUGCAAAUUUUUGGCAUUCUUUGCAAGUGAUAAGCUUGUUUGUUGGCCAACCUGGAACAAACCAAAUGUGAUAGAUACUCAAAAAAUUAACAGAAGCCUGAAAUUAGUAAUACUCAAGAAUUAGUUGAGUCAAUAAUGUCUUCCAGAAACAAUAGCACAAAACUUUGUUUUGUUAAAUCAAUCAAAUUUUAUAAUAUAAUUUAUAUUGUCUAUAAUUAUCAUAAUAUUUGGUUAUGAAAUCAAUCUUUCAAUAUAAUGACAAAAGGCUAAGUUGAAACUUGAUGAAUCCUUUCAUAUUAUGCACGUUCCUUUAAAACAUGUUACAGUUUUCUAAGUGCUAAUGUGUUCAUCUAUAACAUGAGAGACAUUCAGCAAGAAAAUAUUAAAAAUGUUACCUUCUUAAUGUUAUUAAGUGAAAGUUCUUCCAAGGAUUUGCCAUUUAUCUCCAAAAAUGCAGCAAUUGCUUCAUCGCUGUAAUGGAGAAAAGGUUAAAUUAUUAUUAGGCAAUUGAAAUUUAGGAUGGGUUAAGAUUACACAAUAAGCACUCUGAAACACCAUCCAAACAUAUCACAAAGAUAUAAACUUGGUAAUAAGAUGUAUGCAAUGGUGUUCUCAAAUCUUUGAACAAAUUACUCAUGAUAUUCCAAAUGCUGGAAAAUCAAUUACUGUCCAUACAAAUAUUAGCAAUAGUCUACCAAUAUAUGACGAGUUAGACCAUCCACAAUGGUAGGGUCUUAACUAUUUAAGAUCCAAUACCUAAUAGGUAUCCCUAUUGUGGAGAAAUUUUUUGGGGGUCUUCUAAGACCCAAGGUCUCACUUAAGACCUCAAUGCUUAAGUGGGCCCCACAUUACUUUUGCUUAAAAUAAUCAAUGUCAUUGUACUAUUGCUUUUCAAUUGCAAUUUACCUUGGUUUUUUAAUGUUAUUGGUGGGUCCUAUUUAGACCUUUUGUUGAAGGAUCUCCAUUGUAGUGGUUGAGUACCUAUUAGGUACUAUUAUUAAAAAAUAAUAAAAAAGUGAUGUGUUAAUGUGGGAUCCAUUUAAGACCUCAAAGUUGAGGGUCUCCAUUGUAGAUGUUGUUAGAGAAUCUGUAGCAUCUUAAGGAAGACAUUACAGAAAAUUUCUCAGGGAGGAUUUCAAUUAUUCAUAAAUAUUACUACAGAUAAUAUAUAAAUUUGUGUGCGUAGUCCAAAAUGAAAAAGCGACCAGUUUCCUUUCAUACCAGUAAGUACUAUCCUAGUAUAUACUAUCACAGAAACAAAGAUUCCUUUCCUACUAAAAAGCAAGAAAUUACUAGAAAAAAAGUAAUAUAUAAAAAAUAAUAAUAAUAAUGAAACGCCUGAAAAUUGUAUAAAACAAGAAACUACCUGAAUGAAUUGCGGCAUAGCUUCAGAUUAAGCAAUGCUCGACAACUAUUUGCAAGAUAUCUUAUGGUUAAAUCUGUCAAUUUGCACAAGUUUGUAAUAUCAAGUGCAUGCAACUCAGGACAAUGUUCAGCAAUGAAUUUCAUUGAUGCAUCAGUCAAAUUCCUGUACAUCGAGAUAUAAACCAAUCGAUUAAACUGCUAAUUAAGUGUAUGCAAAAAUAAGAAAAACAAAUUCCAUGCAUGAACCGAAAAGCUCAAAUAGUACUUACACACAGUCCCUUAAAACAAGCUCAUUAAUGUUGUGACCACAUGUAAUGAUAUAAUUCUUGAUGAAUUUAUCAGUAACAGUAGGAAGUCCAGCUAGUGACAACACUUCUAAAUGUUCGAGUCUCUUCAAUGCCGAUAAAAUUAGUGCAACAUCAAUGAGUAUACAAUCAUCAAG